GACGUAGGGCGCGAGCGUUGUCCGGAUUUAUUGGGCGUAAAGAGCUCGUAGGCGGCUUGUCGCGUCGACUGUGAAAUCCCGCGGCUCAACCGCGGGUCUGCAGUCGAUACGGGCAGGCUAGAGUUCGGUAGGGGAGACUGGAAUUCAAGGUGUAGCGGUGAGAUGCGCAGAUAUCUUGAGGAACACCGGUGGCGAAGGCGGAUCUCUGGGCCAUUACUGACGCUGAGGAGCGAAAGCGUGGGGAGCGAACAGG
rnacentral:rRNA from 1 species